UACGUAGGGUGCGAGCGUUAAUCGGAAUUACUGGGCGUAAAGCGUGCGCAGGCGGCGCGUUAAGACAGGUGUGAAAGCCCCGAGCUUAACUUGGGAAUUGCGCUUGUGACUGGCGUGCUGGAGUGUGGCAGAGGGAGGUGGAAUUCCACGUGUAGCAGUGAAAAUGCGUAGAGAUGUGGAGGAACACCGAUGGCGAAGGCAGCCUCCUGGGCCAGCACUGACGCUCAUGCACGAAAGCCAGGGGGAGCAAACGGG
rnacentral:rRNA from 1 species